UACAGAGGUCUCAAGCGUUUGUUCGGAUUCAUUUGGGCGUAAAGGGUGUGUAGGUGGCGCCGUAAGUCGGGUGUGAAAUUUCGGAGCUUAACUCCGAAACUGCAUUCGAUACUGCGGUGCUUGAGGACUGGAGAGGAGACUGGAAUUCAUGGUGUAGCAGUGAAAUGCGUAGAGAUCAUGAGGAAGACCAGUGGCGAAGGCGGGUCUCUGGACAGUUCCUGACACUGAGACACGAAGGCCAGGGGAGCAAACGGG
rnacentral:rRNA from 1 species